CCAAUGUUGACAGUGAGCAAUGUUUGGUUCGCCCAGACUCGCUUACUGUCUAUGUGGCAUAAGGGAGCUGAAUGUCCAUCAUGACUGGAGGUAUAUUCCCAUUCCACUACAUUGGAGAGUAACUAGCUGCUGACUUGCUGGUCAGCAAGGCUGGGCCCUGUAUAUUCCAGAACCUUCCUAGAGCUGCUCUGUAGCUGAGACUGGGGAGACUAGCCAUACAGGGAACAAAA